rnacentral:rRNA from 1 species
AACAAACGCUGGCGGCGUGCCUAAUACAUGCAAGUCGAACGGGGAAAGUCUUCGGAUGAGUACUAGUGGCGCACGGGUGAGGAACACGUAGAUAAUCUGCCCCUAGGCGGGGAAUAACUGGUCGAAAGAUCAGCUAAUACCGCAUAAGACCACGACUUCUGAGGAAGAUGGGGUUAAAGGCUUCGGCCACCUAGGGAUGAGUCUGCGUCCGAUUAGCUAGUUGGUGAGGUAAGAGCUCACCAUGGCGACGAUCGGUAGCUGGUCUGAGAGGAUGACCAGUCACACUGGGACUGAGACACGGCCCAGACUCCUACGGGAGGCAGCAGUAGGGAAUAUUGCACAAUGGAGGAAACUCUGAUGCAGCGACGCCGCGUGAGUGAUGAAGGCCCUCGGGUUGUAAAGCUCUGUUCUUAGGGAAUAAAAAAAUGAAGGUACCUAAGGAGAAAGGACCGGCUAACUUCGUGCCAGCCGCCGCAGUAA